rnacentral:rRNA from 1 species
GACUGACUGCUAUCGGAUUGAUACUAAGCCAUGCGAGUCAUUGUAGUAAUACAAGGCAGACGGCUCAGUAACGCGUGGUCAACCUACCCUAUGGACGAGGAUAAUCUCGGGAAACUGAGGAUAAUACUCGAUAGACCAUUAUGCCUGGAACGGUUUAUGGUUAGAAUGAUUCGUCGCCAUAGGAUGGGACUGCGGCCUAUCAGCUUGUUGGUGAGGUAAUGGCCCACCAAGGCGAUUACAGGUACGGGCUCUGAGAGGAGAAGCCCGGAGAUGGGUACUGAGACAAGGACCCAGGCCCUAUGGGGCGCAGCAGGCGAGAAAACUUUGCAAUGUGCGAAAGCACGACAAGGUUAGUCCGAGUGAUUUCUGCUAAAGAAAUCUUUUGCAAGUCAUAAAACCACUAGUGAAUAAGGGGUGGGCAAGUUCUGGUGUCAGCCGCCGCGGUAAAACCAGCACCUCAAGUGGUCAGGAUGAUUAUUGGGCCUAAAGCAUCCGUAGCCGGCUCUGUUAGUUUUCGGUUAAAUCUAUGUGCUCAACGCAUGGGCUGCCGAAAAUACUGCAGAGCUAGGGAGUGGGAGAGGUAGACGGUACUCGGUAGGAAGGGGUAAAAUCCUUUGAUCUAUCGAUGACCACCUGUGGCGAAGGCGGUCUACCAGAACACGUUCGACGGUGAGGGAUGAAAGCUGGGGGAGCAAACCGGAUUAGAUACCCGGGUAGUCCCAGCUGUAAACGAUGCAGACUCGAUGAUGCAUUGGCUUAUUGCCAAUGCAGUGUCGCAGGGAAGCCGCUAAGUCUGCCGCCUGGGAAGUACGUACGCAAGUAUGAAACUUAAAGGAAUUGGCGGGGGAGCACCACAAGGGGUGAAGCCUGCGGUUC